rnacentral:lncRNA from 1 species
AAGAAGAUGUGGUGUAUAUAUAUACAAUGGAAUACUACUCAGCCAUAAAACAAACAACAAAAUCAUCCCAUUCGCAACAACAUGGAUGGACCUGGAGGGUAUUAUAUUCAGCAAAAUAAGCCAGACAGAGAAAGACAAACACCAUAUGAUUUCACUCAUGUGUGGAAGCAAUAACAGGCUGUGAAUUUUCUCGCCUCAGGAGAGGUACAGGACAGGCAGGAGGGCAGAGUCAGCCUGCCAAACUUUUACCUGUUUUUGUGGCCCACACACCUGAGCUAAGCGAGGAUCACACGACGUUCAGGAGGACGCAGGGGCCCUGGAGGAGCAGGGGCAGGAGAGGCUCCCCCGUCGGAGGUCCACGAGGGCCGGAGCUGUGCUGAGAAUCUACGCGGGAAGCAAACACCGCUCCAUGGUGGAGCCCGAGGAGGGUUGCCACCAUUAUGUGCAAUCUGAUGCCUUGGUUUCCUAUUUCUGGGCUGAAGAACUUCCUCAAGUAAUUGUUUUCACACAGGGAGCCUGAAUGGUAACUUAUUUAUUUCCAGAUGUCUUU